rnacentral:lncRNA from 1 species
UUUUUUUUUCUUCCAUUCACAAUGUAGAAAACACGAAAAACAACUUGAGAUUGUUCUCCAAAACCACCAAAUUAAAAACAUGGAGAACAAAUUUAGAAACAUGGGAAACAAUUGCCAAACGUGUUUUUGAGUGUCUUUUGUUUUCAAGAACAAAAAACAGUUUUCGGAAACAGAAACCAAACAAGCCCUUAAUUUUUUAAAAAUUCAAAUGGUGUUUUUAAUGUUUUGUUUUCCUCCGUUUGGUUAGUGAGAAAGAUAAGGAAAAUGAGGGCAAAAAAACUCAUGAACCACUUUUUCGAUUUGAUUCUUUGUUUAUUUUUGGUAUUUUAAUGUUUUAUUUUCCUCUGUUUGGUUAGUGAGAAAGCUGAGGAAAAUAAGAGGAAAAAACCCAUUAACCACUUAUGUUCUCAAACCCACUUACCCAAAUAUUUGCCUAUUAUUUUACCCAAAAUUAAAUUGCUUCAAAAAACUUACCUAGCCACUUCAAGAUGUUGUUGAUGGGAGCUGUUGGUGGGAGUCACAGACGGUGAAGAGAGAAAAUGGGAGUCGCAAACGGUGGGGGCUAUAGACGGUGAGGAAAGAAAAUAAUAGUUAGGGUUUCAGAUAAAAAUAGCUUUGGGAUAAAAAUAUGUUGAAUGGUUUCGAAUGAAAAAAAAUGGCCUUCAGAAUAAAAGUGUGCUGAAUGGAAAAAAAAAAAAAAAAAAAAAGUCAAAGAUAGCUUGCUAAUGUGGGUUCAAAAGAGUAGUUUGACAAUUAGUUUGAAAUAUGCAUUACUUUUGAUUUUUUUUUUUUUAAAUAGAGAUUACUUUGGCUGCAAACUCUUGCGAUUCUUUUUCUUUUUAUCUUCGUCCUUAUUUUGAAAGCCUGACUUGUAAUUCAUGUCGUACGGAUCAUUAUUAGUAAAAUCAUGAAUUUUAGUUGUAUUUCUACUUUAUUAACAAAAUAUGAAUUAAAAAAAAUAAAUAUUCUUUUUAAAACUUAAAAAAAUCUAAAUAAUGCUUGAAGCCCUCUAUUUAAGAUUGAUUACAUUCCAACACCGUUUUUUAAAGUAUUUUUUUAGUUUUAUCCAAAAAUGUUUUUUACAAUGUUUUUUUUAAAGAUUUAAAAAAAAUAUUUUUAGAAGAAUUACCUAUCAAAUGUUUCUCCAUAUACAUUAUAAGUGAUUUUUAGAUUUUUAAAUUUUACUAAAUACCUUUUAAAAAAAAAAAACACUUUUUAAACUAAGACAAUGUUUGUUUUUUUGCAAAACCAAAAUAUUUGACUUUUUUAUUCAACUAAAAAUAACUUAUUGAAUCAAUUAAUAUAAGUAAAAUGAAUUUACUAUUAAUAGAUUCAGUUUAAUUAUAUUGAUUGAUGUUAGCCCAAGGGUUCUCCUAAUCAUGUUUUGAAGAUAACAAACCAUUGUUAAGUUAUUAAUUGGUUUGAAUUAUAAAGAAUUUUGGGUGUUAGUUUGGAAAUUCAUCAAAGGACCUUAUGGAUACAAGAUUAAGACUUUUGAAAGAUUUUUUAAUCAUAGGAAACAAAUGUAAGAUGAAUGCAUGGGUGCAUUUAGGAUUUACAUAUCAUUUCAUGCAUAUUUGAAAAACUCAGUUAUGCUUUAAAGUUACAUUUCCAUCAAAAUCCAAGAUCUAUCAAAUGAACCUUAGGCAAAACGUUUCAAAAUUGACAUAUUAUUUUACCUAAAGACCUUGCCUAAGUGUUAGAAGCAAAAAGAUCGGAAAAAAUAGGUUUUCAGGAAAAUGGCAAAUUGGUUGAGGACUGGACAAACAAGCUCAACCAACUAGGGUACCGCCCAACCGGUUACCCUUUCUCGAUUGAGGUUCAGUCGAUAGAUGCAAAAAACACCCUAUUUCUUCCAGUAGCCUUUCUUUCCUGAUCGAGGAAUUUUUCUUCCCGGUUGAGGUCCAGUCGAGGGUAACGAUCACCUGUCAAGCAUUAAAUGCUCAAACGACUAGUGAAUCGUCGACCCUCAGCUCAACCGAUUGAGGCUGUUUUUUGGUUUUUUGGCUCUCAAGGUUAGAAACCUAUAUAUUGAGAGCUCCACUUCAUUUAUGAGUAAGAGAACACCUGCAUUUAUUUAUUUAUCUACUUGUUCUUGCUAUAAAAGUUGUCAUUCUUUUCUUGGUGCAUCAAAUCAUCAUUUGCAUAUUUUUUAGUGCACCAUUGUGAUUCAUCCUAGUCCUUGAGUUGUAUUUGAGUCAUUAUUAAGCUAGGUUGAGAGAUUCAUAUUUGUUAUUAAAGCCUUCAAGAGAGUAGAGACUUGAAGAAAUUGUGUAAGAGCCCAUUGGAGCCGGAAUCCAAGUGUAAAAAGUGAUUAGAAGUUUGGUUGAAACUUCAAGUAUAAUUGGAACAUUUACUCGGUUAGGAGCUUGAGGAGAGUGGAUGUAGGCAAGGAAGUGUCGAACCACUAUAAAUCCGAGUUUGCUUUCUAUAUCCUUAUCUCUUUAUAUUUGUGCUUCUUAUGCUUAAUUUUAUUGUGUUUAAAAAUGACUUUUUUUUUAAACCUCCAAUUCAUCCCCCCCCCUUCUCUUGGGUAUUUUUAUCCUUUUAAAUUAACCCUUUAUUUUCUCAAUUGAUAUUAAUAAGUUACUUUUAACUUGAUAGAAAAUGUCAAGUAUUUUAACUUUUUCUAUUCAACUAAAAAACAAACACUAUCUAAAGAGUAUGUUUGACAGUGUUUCUACUCAAAGUGUUUUUAAUAAAAAUAUUUUUUAUAGAAAUAUUUUGCGGGGAAUCAUCUAUCAAGUGUUUCUCCAAAAAAUACUAUAAAUUAAUUUUCUUAUACUAUAAGUGAUUUUUCAAAAUUUAAAAAAUGUUUCCUAAAAUUUGGCAAGCACCUAGUUUUGUUUUUUAAAAUAUUUUCCAAGUUAAAAAUGCUUCUUAGAAUCAUUUAUCAAACGGAUUCUAAAAGUGCUUCAAAAUCACUACCAAAUGAACUUUGAAUAUUACGGUGUUAUAAAUAAUUUUUUUUUUAUUAUCUAUGUACAUAACUAAGAGUUCGUUUGACAUUAGUUUUAGAAAGCAAUUUUAGGCUAAAAAAUAUUUUUGAAAAAAAUCACUUUUAGUAUGGAGAAACACUUGAUAUGUGAUUUUUUAAAAACAAUUUUAAAGAAAAUACUUUCAUUAAAAAUACUUUGAGUAAUGACACUGCUAAACGCACUCUCAAUAUUACGAUUUAUUCACAUUUAACCACCUAUCAUAAUCAUAAUAAAAUGAUGAUAAAAUUAUCUAUGCUUAAAUUUUAAAUAUUUUAUAACCCUUUUAUUGAUGUGUAUUAAAAAAUGGAACUUACUAAAGAAAAUGGAAGAUGUCUUUUGAGUUAUGAUUCAAUUAUGAUCAUAAAGUGUAAAAUGAUGAGUUUAUUUGAACAAGCGAGGAGGCUUGUAUUAAAUCAAUUAUUGUCAUUUGAAUAUGAUGAAAUCCAAAUUAUCAAGUAAUAUUAUCAUCUCAAAUUGACAACAUUCCAUUUUAGCAUGUGGGUUUUAAUCCUCUUUUAAAAAUUUAAAUAAUAUUUUUUACCAUUCAAAGAUUGAUUUUUAAAUAUAUGAAUAUUUUAAAAAAUUAUCACUUUUAUCAUAAUCCUAUCAAUCCCCCAAAAAAAUAAGGGGACAUCCUUGCUAAUUACAUAAAAGUUAGGAAAUUGUUACAAUUAGGAAACUACUCUAUUUUACCAAAAUCCCUACAAUAGUACAUUGAUUUCUAAAGUCAAAGAAUCACAUAAAUUCUUCAAUACUUCCAUCAAGCUGGUGAAUAUAUAUAUCAUCCAUUCCCAACUUGCUCGUAACUUUUUGGAAUGAAGAGCUGGUCAAUCCUUUGGUUAAAAUAUCUACCAAUUGUCCAUGUGUUGGGACAUAUGGUGUACAUAUCAACCUACUCUUAAGUUUCUCUUCGAUGAAGUGUCUAUCAACUUCUACAUGUUUGGUUCAAUCAUGUUGAAACAAAUUGUGAGCAAUAUUGAUGGUCAACUUAUUGUCACAGUACAACUUCAUUGGUCCCUGCCACUUAAUUUUAAGAUCGUCAAGAAUGAUUUUCAAUCACAAAGGUUCACAAGUACCAUGAGCUAUGACUCUAAACUCUACCUCAACACUUGACCUUGCCAUCAUAAUUUGCUUUUUACUUUUCCAAGUUACUAAAUUUCUUCCAAGUAAGGUGCAAUGCCCUAAAGUUGACCUUUUAUCCAUAAUUGCCCUAGCUUAGUCAACAUCAAUGUAUGCUUCAAGUCUUAGUUCUACACAUUUUAUAAACAAGAUUCAUUUUCUUGGGGCACUCUUGAGAUAUCAAAGAACUCUAUAGGCAACUUGAAAAUGAAUAUCCUUUGGGUUAUGCAUGAAUUGGCUUAUCACACCCACAACAUAUGUUAUGUCUGGUUGUGUGUGCGAAAGGUAAAUUAACUUGCCAACCAAUCUCUGAUAUUUUCUUCAAUCUACUGGUGUAUCAUCAUUAACCUCACUUAGCUUAUGAUUUAUUUCAAUUGGUAUGUCAAUAGGUUUACAUUCUAACAUUCCAGAUUCCUUGAGAAGAUCAAGUAUGUACUUUUAUUGUGACAUAAAUAUUCCUUCUUUUGAGCUAGCUACUUCAAUUCUAGGAAAUACUUGACCUUUCCAAGUUCUUCAAAUUCCUUGGCCAAUUGGUCUUUAAGUAAUUGCAUUUUCAUUGGAUCAUUACUUGUCACAAUUAUAUCAUCAACAUGCACAAUCAAUGCUAUAAUUCCUCCCAAAGUCGAGUGUUUGAUGAACAAUGUGUGAUCUCCUUGACUUUAUUUGUAGUUCAUUUUCAACAUUACUUAAGUAAAUCUUUCAAAACAUGCUCUCAAAGACCGUUUCAACCCAUACAAAGCUUUCUUCAACCUACAAACUUUAUUAAUGUGAAAUAAUUAGUUAGAACAUGGUGGUGCCUCCAUAUACACUUCUUCUUUCAAAUCUUGAUGUAAAAAUGCAUUUUUCGCAUCAAAUUGCUAUAAACACUAGUUAGUUGCCAAAGACAAGAGCACAUGCACGACAUUCAUUUUUGACACAAGUGCAAAAGUUUCUUGAUAAUUAACCUCAUAGUUUGAGUGUAGCCCUUGGCUACUAAUCUUGCCUUAUAUCUUUCUAGAGAUCCAUUAGCUUUAUAUUUUACUAUAAAUACCCAUUUACACCACAUAAUUUUUUUUUUUCCUUUUAGAAGGUCCACUAUUUCCCUAGUUUGAUUUUUAUUUAAUGCUUUCAUUUUCUCAUUCAUGGCAUUUUUCCAUUUCUUAUCCUUAAGUACCUCAUGAUAAGUUUAAGGAAUUUUAAUAGAAUUCACUUGGGUGAAAAAAACUCUUGUAUUAAGGAGAUAGUUUGUUUAAAGAAAUAAAAUGAGAUAUUAGAUCUUGAGUGCAAUUUCUAAUUCCCUUUCUAAGUGCUAUGGAAACAUCUAGAGCAUUUAUAGUAGGAGGUGUUUCUAUACUUGGUUGUGAAUUGGAUUCUUGAACUUGCAUAAGUAGAAGAAUAGAUGUCAUUUUCCUAGAGUACAGUUAGAGUGGUUGAGCAUUAGUAGGAACUAAGGUUGGAAUUUCUAUUUCAAGCUCUAUUUUGGGCUUUGUUUUAGGUUGAUUGUUGCUUGGAGUUGUAGGAAAUGACUCGGGUAACACAAAAAAGGAUAGUGGCUAUUGGGGUGAAGUAAAACAUGAUAAAAGAGAAAGACCAAGUAGAAAUUGAUCUUCAUCCUUAUCUUUUGUAGUGAUUGUCUCCCUCUGAAGAUAAGGAAUAGAGAAAAUUGAUUGUUUUUCAACAAAGGUAACAUCUAUGGGGAUAAAGAAUUUCCUUGAAGAUGGGUGGUAGCAUUUAUAUCAUUUUAUUUUAUUUUAUUUUAUUUUUUGUGGUGGAAUAUCCUACAAUGAUGCACCUCAAGGCACAUGGGUCAAGUUUUCCCUAAUUAUGGGCAUGAAUAUGCGCAAAGCUAAUACACCUAAAAAAUUUAAGAGUAAGCUUACAAGUGAUGUGAGAAUUUGAAAAAUGGUUGGAAAAAACACUCAUAGGACUUUUGAACCCUAGAAUCCUUGAGGGAUGUUGUCGUCAACACAACUUCUCCCCAAUAAGAUUUAGGAACAUAUAUUUAAAACAAAAGUGCUCGUGUAACCUCAAGUGUUUGUUUUUUUAUUUAUUAAGAGAACCCAUUUUGUUGUGGACUAUUCACACAGGAUGAAUAAUGAACCAUUCUUUCCUUUUGAAGAAAAGUUGAUAGGUUUGAUUAAAAUUUUCCCUUAUGUUAUCACUAAACUCUUAAUGCAUACCCUAAAUUGGUUUUUGAUCAUUUUGAAAAAAUUUGGAAAAACUUCACUCACUUUGAAUUUUUGUUUUAAGUGAAUUAUCCUUGUGCAAUCAUCAACAAAUGAGGCAAACCACUUUAGACAUGAAAUAUUAGGACUUUUUAUGGUCCCCAAAUAUCCAAAUGAAUCAUAGAAAAUAGAAAAGUUGGUCUUGUAUUACUCAGAGGAAAGGAAACACAAUGAUGUCUAACUCACAAAUAUCACAAUGUAAAUUAUUAACAUCAACAUUUUUUAACAGUAAAGGAAACAUAUCUUUGAGUAAACUAAAUGAUGGAUGCCCAAGAUGGAAGUGUUGAAGCCAAAUGCUAUCUUUAUUGAAGGAAAAAUUAUUAGAUAAAUAAGAAUGUAAAGGUUGGUUGCUACUUCCACUCUUUGUUCAAAGGAAAUAGAGUCCAUUCUUUUGCUUACCAUGUCCAAUCGUACUCCCCAUAACCCAAUCUUGAAAAACACAGUAGAUUGGGUAGAAAGUCACUCUACGGUCUAAAUCUUUAGUAACUUGAUGAACAAACAAAAUAUUGAUAGACAAGUUAAGAACAAGCAACAUAUUUUUUAGUGGAAGAGAGGAAAAUAAAGUAACAAUUCCCUGAUUUGCAUUAGUAGUGAAAAAGUCAUCUACAAAUUUGAUUUUCUUAUUACAAGUAUAAGGAUUAUAAGUAAUAAAUGACUGAGAGCAAUAUGUCAUUUGAUAGAUUGCUCUUGAGUCUAUGACCCAAUAAAUCAUUAUGGAGUGUGUUUUAGGCACUACGAGCAUAAAAAUUAGGAAACUUGCUUGAUUGUGCAAAUGAACACGAUCCAUUUUUUUUUUUCAAUGGAAUUAAGGAGAUUUCUUAUCCUUUCUAUCUCCUCCUUGUUGAAUCCUUCAGUCUUUAAGUUACUUGAAUUGGAAUUUUCAUAAGGACGACCUUUUGCAUGAGUCAAUUGAGUCUAUCCUCUUUAUUGUCUACGUUUAAAACCACCAUUCUAGCCUACUCCUUGGGGUUUCCCAUGGAUUUUUCAACAAGUUUCUUUGGUGUGACAAAGCUUCUUAUAGUAAGUGUACCAUACUUCAUCACGGUUGAAUGACCUUGUUGAUUUAUUCUUAACGAUUUCGAUUAUGUUUUCUUAUCUCUCACUAUUCCUAUUGAUUCCUUCAUCAUUUGUUUUUAUGGAAACCAUGGUAGACCCUUCCAUGGGUUGUGAUUCAAGUAUGACACCUCUUUGACUUUCUUUAGUUCAGAUUAUUGAGAAAACACCUUGUAAUGAGAGUAUAGUUUCCUUCCUUAAAACUUGCACUUGGACUUGGUCAACUUAAAAUUAAGUCUUGCAAGAAAUUCAAAAAUCAUUUUCCUCUCCCUUUCGACAAGCUUUAGUAAAUGACAACAUCUUCAUUGCAUUUCAUUUUAAAAAUUUUGAUAGUAGUCCAAUUCAAGUUAAAGUCUUUUCAUGACAUUAUAGUAUUUGGUGAUUGAAAUAGUACCUUGCUUGGUUGUUAUUUUUGUCUUAACUUCAUAAAUCAAGGCUAAAUUCUACAUCUUAGAAUAGGUUUGGCAAACUAUUUCCCAAAUCUCCCUCGUUGUUAGAAACAUACAAGUCCCACUUACUUCAGGGAACUUUGAAUUCCAAAACUAGGACAUGAUUAUGGAGUUUUCCUCGUCUUAUUUAACAAAUGUAGAAUCAUAUUGAGUAUGUUUAAUCCCUAUCAAAUGGCUUAAUUUCCUUUUUUCUUUUACAAAAGUCUUCACCACUUGUGAACAUUAUAAGUAUUUUUUGUUGUUCAAUUGAUAUGAUGAUUUAAUAUUCUACAACUUCUCUUUUGGAGAGUUUUAUUGCACCUCUCCAGAUUGGUUUUCAAUAAUCACAACAAUAGAAUUAACUAUGAAUGUUUCAAACAUGGCUAAAUAAUGGGUGAGAUUGAAUAAUGGACAAUUAGAAGGGAUUUCUUAGAUAAUCAAAUUUCUCUGAUUUUUUUUUUUUAGUAAGAAAACCUAUAAGAUUUUGCAAAUUUUUUUUUCUUAAAGAGCGAGAGCUCUAAUACCAUGCAAAAAAAUAUUAUUUUAUGCUAUAUAUAUAUAUAUAUAUAUAUAUAUAUAUAUAUAUAUAUAUAUAUAUAUAUAAAUUACCUACAACCAAUUUAAGGAGAGUUUGACAUUCUAUCACAAUCUUAUCAAUCUCUAAAAAUUAGGGGAUAACUUUGCUAAUUACAUGAAAAUUACGAAAUUGGUACAAUUAGGAAACUACUCUAUUUUACCAAAAUCUCUAUCGUUGUACAUUGAUUUUUGUAAGUAAUAGAAAUCACAUAGAUUCUGUAAUAUUAAACUUUUAUUUUAUUUUAUUGAGAUAUGACUCACUAGGGGGUUUUUAAAGGUGCUUAAAUUGGUGUAAUUAACAAGUCUAGGUUAUAAAUGAGAUAUCUUAUUUUGAGUGAUAUUUUCAUUGUCUACAUGUAGACUAAAUAAAAAGAAGGAUAAAUUGAUAACGAUCAACAAAUUUAGCAAUCGUAGCAAUAGAUAGUAAAGAAACUAAACUAAAAACAACAACCACUCACCUAUAUCUACAUUACAUUUGUUACAAUAGUUGCAACUAACUUCUGUUAUGUUUAGCCUUACAAUAUUAGUACACCACCUGUAUAUAAAACAUUCUAUUUAAUAAAAAAUCUCUUAAGUUGUUGCAUAAUCAGUUUUACUUACAUGGUAUUAGAGCUACACACCUUUUGAAAAUCUUUUCUUCAAUUUUUUUUUGUUUUUCUUUGUCACGCUUACAUACAAUCUAAUCUUCAAGAAAGCAUUAUCACACCUGCUUUGCGCCUACAUAGAAGAUUUCAAAAAAUGGUAGAUUCAAAUCAAUCUUUUGAUGCAAGAACCAAAGUAACACUCGCAACAUUUCCUCCAACUUGUCCCAUCUCCACAACUUUAAGGAAGAGCAUGUUCAAGGAGCAGAGGACAUAACAAUCAAAAUGGUAAUAGACCACAAUACUAACUUUAUGGCAAGUAUGGCCAUACAGUGAUCUCUUGCUACCAUUGAUUUAAUAUUCAUUUUGAAGCACCAGAAAACUUGCACUCCAACAAUCCAAAACAACCAUUCAACAACUCUAUUCGCAGUAACAAGAAUGUUAUGAUGGCCGCAUACUUUCCUAAUGAUUCUUGGUUCUUGUACACUAAGGCAACGUGCCAUAUUUCUAACAACAACAAUAACAUCUCCCAUACUCUUUCCUAUCAAGGCACUAAUUAGGUCAUCAUCGGUAAUGAUAAGCGUCUAACCAUAUCUCAUGUAGGCUUUAAAACUCUUUAUACUCACACUAAACCUUUCCAUUUACAAACCAUUUUUCAUGUGCCUCACCUUACAACAAAUCUCAUAAGUGUUUCCAGAUUUUGCUUCGAUAAUAACUCUUUCUUUGAAUUCUAUCAUAAUUUCUUUCUUAUCAAGGAUCAAAUUUCCCAAAAGACUCUUCUUCAAGAAAACAAUGAAUGUGGGUCGUACAAGUUUUCUGCCCACUCACCUGGUCAUUUGUCCAAAACUCCUACAUCCACUCACUCAACCCUCACAACAAUAUCUCAAACUGACUUCUACCACUUGUACUAGAGGCUAGGACAUCCAACAACUCCUAUUCUCAAGCAUAUUCUUUCAUCUUAUAAUAUCUUCUAUUCUAGCAAUAAUACAAGUCAUGUUUGUUCUGCUUUCCAAUUUUCCAAGAAUCAUAAAUUGUCAUUUUCAUUGUCCUCAUCUAGAGCAAAACAACCACUUGCACUGAUUCAUUCCGAUCUAUGGGGAUUAACUCCUACUCCUUCUACCAUUAGAGCUAAGUAUUUUUUACUAUUUGUUGCGAUUUUUCUCACUUCUUCUGGAUAUAUACUUUACAUCAAAAUGACCAAGUGUUUUCUUUCUUUCUUCAAUUUAAAGCCUUAGUAGAAAACCAAUUUAAUAAUAAAACCAAAUGUAUGCAAUCUAAUGAUGGUGGAGAAUUUAAAGCUCUUAUUCCAUUUCUUACCAAAUAUGGUAUUGAACAUCAAUGGUCGAGCUAAGUGUAAAAUUCAUCACAUAAUUGAAAUUGGACUACUCAUCCUUACUACUGCCUCUCUACUCCUAAAAUUCUGGAAUUCUGCCUUUCAAACAGUUGUACUACUCAUCAAUUCCAUGCCUUCACCCAUUCUUGGUUGCAUUUCUCCUUUCCAACUCAUCUUUCACAUAACCCUGAACUAUCAAUCCUUCAUAACAUCCGGUUGCCUCUAUUAUCCACAUUUUCGACAAUAUAACUCCCAUAAACUUUUCCCAUGUUCGGCGAAGUGUAUAUUAAUUAGAUAUAGUACAUCUAACAAAAGAUAUAUGUGUCUUCAACUCUCGCCAACAAGAGUCUACAUUACAAGACACGUAGCAUUUGAUGAUCUAUAUUUCCAUACUCCCAUUUAUCUUCUAAUCAAUCCAAUUCAUUUCCUCCACUUAUGGUAUUUCCAGCAUUUUUACCUCCUUUGAUUCCCUUCCCCAUUCUUACAAUCGCUUCUUUAAGUUCUUCUCAUAAUUCUCCAGCAUAUUUUCCUAGUUCAACAAGUUUACUCACAGUUUCCUCAUAGUCAUCUACAACUCCUAUUCCCUUUAAUGACUUCAAACCAUCCAUUGCUUCAGUUCAAAAUUCUCAUCCCAUGAUUACAAGGUCCAAAGGUAGAAUUACCAAGAAAAAUGCCAUGUCUGCACCAACUACCUUUGAUCUACAAACAUUCCAACAAGCCCUCAAAGAUGAAAACUGGUGUUUUGCUAUGUAGAUCGAGUACAAUGCUCUUUUAAAGAAGCAUACAUGGACUCUAGUUCUUCUUUCUUCCCAUGACAAUAUCAUUGGUUGUAAAUGGAUAUUCAAACUGAAAUAUAAACCUAAUGGAAUGACAUAAAGUAAGGCUAGUUGCAAAGGGAUUCAAUCAAACUCAAGGUAUAGACUAUUUUGAAACCUUUAGCCCGGUGGUACAACUAUCUACCAUUCGCAUGGUACUUACCUUUGCUCUCACUUCUCAUUGGACCAUACAACAGUCAGACAUUCAAAAAGCAUUUCUGAAUGAAGAUCUUCAAGAUCAAGUGUAUAUGCAUCAACCACCCGACUUCAUUAAUGCUCAAAACCUAUUUUAUGUUUGCUACCUUCAUAAAGCUAUAUAUGGCCUCAAACAAGCUCCCAAAGCUUGGUUUCAUAAACUGAGUAACUCCUUGAUAUAUUGGGGUUUCCAAUCAUCUAGGGCAGAUAGUUUUCUUUUCUUUUGUCAUACAAAAAAUGAAGUCCCCAUAAUACUCAUUUAUGUGGACAAAAUUCUGUUAAUAGGCAGCUUAGAGUCUCAAGUGUUCUUGUUUAUUUCCCAUAUUAACAAAAAUUUGCACUAAGAGAUCUUGGAGCUCUCAAUUAUUUCUUGGGCAUAAAAUUUACUCACUGUCCUAACUUUAUGCAUCUUAGCUAGUAAAAGUAUAUUCAAGAUCUUAAUAAAACUGAUAUGUCUGCAGCUAAACCAGUAAUCAUACUUGGGUCCUUAGGCAAGCAAUUCUCUAAAGCUAAUGGAGAACUCCUUUCUGAUCCCUCCAUUUACAAAAGCACAGUAAGAACACUCUAAUAUGUCGCUAUUACCAUACUAGAGAUCUCAUUUGUUGUAAACAAGGCUUGUCAGUUUAUGCAAAAUCCAACCACAUAUCAUUGGCUUGUCUUAAAAAGAAUUCUUUAGUAUUUAAAGGGACUUCAGCUGAUGGCCUUAUUCCAUAUGCCUCUUUUUCACUUGAUCUCCAAGGAUAUACAAACGUAGAUUGGGCAUCAUGUCCAGACGACCGUCAUAGUAUCGGAGGCUACUGUCUUUUUAUCAAUCCCAAUCUUGUUUUAUGGUCCUCUAUUGAGCAAAAAAUUGUCUUCCAAAGCAGCGUUGAAUCUAAGUAUCAAAGCCUUGCUACGUUACUAUUGAAAUAGUUUGGGUUCAAGUUGUCUUAAAAGAGCUUUGCAUUCCUCAAACCACUGCACCUUUGAUUUGGUGUGAUAACAAGAGUGUUGUAGCAUUAGCAACUAAUCUAGUGUUCCACGCUCGUUCCAAACAUAUAGAACUUGAUUUCCACUUCAUAUGAGACAAAGUUCUUAAAAAACACUUGGAUAUUAAUACAUUCCUUUAGUUGAUUAGAUAGUAGAUAUUUUCACCAAGCAUCUUCCAAGUGCCUAGUUCUUCCUUUUCCACACUACACUCUUUGUGGUCCCAAGACCUGUGUACUUGAGGGGGGAUGAUAACAAUCAAUAGAUUUAGAAACCAUAGCAACAUAUAACAAAGAACUUGAACUGAAAACAACAACCACUCAAUUGUAUCUACAUUACAUUUGUUAUAGUAGUUACACCUAAAUUCUAUUAUGUUUAGCCCUACAAUACUAGUACACCACCUAUAUAUAAAGCAUUCCAUUUAAUAGAAAAUCUCUUAAGUUGUUGCAUAAUCAGUUUUACUUGCAUAAAUAAGUAGAUAAGAUUCUAUAAAAUUCAAAAUUUGUUUUUGAAUUAAAUUAGUUAAAAACAUAAUGGAGAUAAUCAUCCAUUUAGUUUGGAAUCUUUAUUAUUCACCAAUAAGGUUACCUAUAAAUAGUAGGCUCAUUGGUAAGUCCAACAAUAUUUUCUCCAUGAGGUUUGAGUUUCUCCAUCUCUUUUUUAUUUUCUCCCAAUCAAGUUCUUCUUGGUGUCUAUCUAUACUUAGAAUUUGGAUGAUGGAAUAAUAAGAAAUUCUAGUAGUUUCUUCAUAAAAGAAAGUUAUCAAUCGUUAGAGACUAUAAUUCAAGUUACAAAAAUCUUUCGUAAAUAUGUAUUUUGGAUUUUUUUUAAUUCUUUUCUUACAAUUUUUAAUGAUAAAAAGUUAUUUUCUAUUUUCUAGUUAUCAAAUAUGUUAUUACAUUUUUUUUGUUCUAAAAAAUAAAAUAAUUAACAAACAUGUCCUUCAUUUUCAUUGAAUCUUAUUUUCACAAUGCUAAAUUUAGUAUGUCCUUUUCACAUUUUUUUUCUUCACAUUUUCAAUUAAUCUUUGAAAAUAUCAUAAAUGAUUUUUCUUCACAUCUUCAAUUAACCUUUGAAAAUAUCAUAAAUGAAAAACAAGCUUUAGAGAGACAAAAAAAAAAACCCCUAAUUAAUCAAAGAACAAAAUUCAAUUUCAAAUAAUAAGUUAAAAAAUUAAUAAAUAAAAUAAACAGAUGAUUGAUGAGAAUUGGGGUGUAAGGUGUAGUAUUAAAGUUGCUUGGUAGUUGAUGGCUGAACUGAACUGCAAUUCCCUCUUUUGGAAUUCUCCUUCUUGGAAACUUAACUGAAGUUUCGGAUAAAGAAAACUAAGAGAGCUUGGAGAGAAAAAUUAGAGAAUGGUUGGUGGAUUGAAGUUGCUUUUAGUGUAAGUUUUAGGGAGAAAGAAAAAUUUGAGACAAAGAAAUAAAGAAAAUGAAGAAUUUGAAUUUCACAUGUGGUUUCAUGCACAUUAGCCAUGUCAUUUUUUUUCUUUUAAUUUAUAAAAUUGUAAAAGUAAUAUUAAAAUGAAAAGCUACAUGAAAUAUGAUUUGUUUUACUCUCUUCAAUUGAAGUAGGAAAAAGUUAAUCAUAUGUUUUAUUUCUAAUCUACUACACCUAAAUACACAUUUUUCCUUACAAAAUAUUUAAAAAUAAUAAUAAACAAAAUCUUUAGUAUCCUUAUUUUUUUUGCUUUUAAAAUAAAAAAAUUCUAUAUAAAAGUAAAAAAUAUUAUACCAAAAGUAUAAAUUUAUUUUAAUUUAUUUUACAUUUUUUGGUAUCUUCAUUUUUUUAAACCGUUUUUAACAUUAUUAUCUUUUCAAGGAAGUACGGUCAAUUCUCAUCUUGUUCUUUGGUCACAUGAAAGCAUCAAGAUCAACCAUUUAAACUUAAAAUGUCAUUGAAUUCAAAAAUCUUUGAAUUUGGAAGUGAUUUUGCAACACUUAUUUAUAUAAAUCCCAAAUCGAAGGUCAAAUCCUAGUCUAUUACUGAUGAACUUAAUAGGAUUUGCUUUUCUACUGUCUAUCGAGGAAAGAACUAGAAUCAAUGCUUUGAUCGGUAAUGUUGAAUAUAAAAAUGUAUUGUGCUUUCUUCGAUACUCUUUAUAUUAGUGUAUAUAUAUAUAUAUGAAUAUUUAAUGUAAUUUUCAAGAUUAUAGUUUGAAAAUUAUAGUUUUGGUUUGGACUUUUACUUUUAGUUAAAGCCAAAGCAAAAAAUUUAUUGGGAUUGAGACGACCUAUUUGCAUAAUUUUCUUUAAAAUGCUUGUCUUUUUUUUUGUAGAAAAAAAAAACUUAAUAGGGAGUUUAAAAAAAAAAAAAAACCUUCUCGCAUCUACCCUAUUUGACUUAUUAAUAAGCCAUUUCAUAUUUGAUGAAAAACUUGCAUUAUAUAAUAAGUCAUAUUUAAUGACUUACAUAUAAUUCAAUAUUGACUUAUUCUAAUUACAAAUGACAACAAGACAGGUUUGGGAUGAGUCAACUCAUCUCGCUUAUUUAUACCUAUUCUCAUCCCUGUACAAAAAAAUAAUAAUAAUUAAAUAAGCAUGGGUGGGGUGUGGCGAUAUAAGAAAUUCUCAUACUUGUCCUACUCUAUUUAUUUUUUUCUAAUUUUAAAUUUUAUUAAAAGUAAAUAUAAUUUAUAAAUAAAAAUUAUUAUAAAUAUUCAUAUGAAAAAUAUUAUUUUAUUUAUGUUUAAAAAGUAAAAAAAAAACUAAAAUUAAUUUUUAUUUAAAUUAUACAUAAUCAGUGUGGGGUGGGACGAGACAAACUUAAACUCAAGUUUUUAAAAACUUUUCAAACUCGUCCUAAACCCUAUUAGCCCUAUUAAGCUCUAAUUAAUUAAUUAGCUUGAUCCAAGAAGUGCAUUAAUAAGAUCUAGUGCAACCUUGAGUUUUUAUCAAAAUGACCUUAUGCACACUUAUGAACUACAAACCCAAAAUUUCUCAAUGAAACGUCCCACCAUGAAUGAGGAGCUUGAUCAUGCCACCAUGAAAGGCAAGUGUAAAACAUUAACUAGUUUGUUUAGUGAUUUGUAUAAAUCAUACUCUAAACUGUCACCUUUUUUUGGUGCCUUAGAGCAAGCAAAUUUAGGAUGAGUUGUAAUUUUUAAAACAUUCCCCAGUAAUAUACGAAAUGGAGAGCUAUUUCAAUGAGUUUUUUUGGGCAUUUCAUCCUUCCAUAGAGGGCUUCAAGCAUUGUCGUCUUGUGCUGACUAUUGAUGGUACACACUUGUAUGGGAAGUAUAACAAAAUUGUAAUGAUUGCCAUGGGGUGUGAUAGAAAUAAUCAAUUUUUUCCUCUCGCUUUUGCAUUAACUGAUGGUGAAAAUGUUGAAAGUUGGGGAUGGUUUUUGGCAUGUAUUAGAAAUCGAGUAACUCAAAUGAGGGAUCUUUGUGUUAUCUCUAACUGUUAUCCGGGCAUCAUGGUUGUGUUAGUUGAUGUUUAUCUUGGUUGGUCUAAGCCAAAUGCAUAUCAUCGGAUUUGUAUGCACCAUCUUGCUAGCAACUUUAUGACUCACUUUAAGGACAAAUGCUUGAAACAACUUUUAUGUAGAGCCACUUUAGAAACUAAGAUAGAAAAGUUCAACAUGCUUAUGGACACAAUUGGGAGGAUUAAUCAAGAUACACUCAACUGGUUGGAGGCCAUUCCCUUUGAGAAAUGGGCACUAUCACAUGAUGGAUGUCAACGAUAUGACAUAAUGACUAUGAACAUGUCAGAAGUGUUCAAUAGUGUGCCUAAAGGGGCAUAAAGCUUUCCUAUCAUUGCAUUUGUUCAAUUGACAUUCUAUCGAGUUAAUAAUUACUUUGUUGUAAGAAGAGAACAUGGUGCUAGUCGACUUGCUUCAGGUGAAGAAUACACUUCUUGUGUUGAUGCUAAGAUUAAUGCAAAUAUUGUUAAGGCAAGUUCUCAUGAGGUUGUUUUGUAUGACCACUUCCAAGGAUUGUUUCAUGUGAAGGCCAGUAGGGGUAGUAAAAAGACAUCAUCUGGUGGACGAACAUACCGUGUUAACCUACGUGAGCAUGGAUGCACAUGUGGUAAAACACUCAUAGAUGGACUCCAAUGAAGUCAUAUUCUAGCGGUAUGUCAUUUUCGUUCAAUUGAUUUUAGAUGAUUUGUUUACCAUUAUUAUACUAUGCAAUCGUACUUUAGCACUUGGUCACCACUAUUUAACCCCAUACACAAUGAGUAUGAGUGGUCGCCAUAUGUUGGUUUAGUUAUUGUGCCUGUAGAUUCAAUGAAACAUGUGUCAAGUGGACGAUCUAAAUCUAUUCAUUUGCACAAUGAAAUGGAUGUUAGACAAGGUAAAGCCUCGGUUACAUGUGGUUUGUGCAAACAAAGUGGUCACAAUCGUCAUUCUUGUUCAAAUAGGAACAUGGGUGUUGGGCCUUCAUGAUGUAUCAUUGACAUUGUAUUCCUUCUUUAACAUAGACACAAGUUCAUGAAUGAUUAGUUGUGUUUAAAUUUUCAUUGGCCUUGGUUAGCAUUGAAUGUUGACAUUAGGUUAUUUGUAUUUUGGACAAUACCUAUGUUAUAAGAAAGACUUUGCAGUUAAUUUCAAAAUUAUACUGUUAACAAUUAUUAGCCUUCCAAUAGUAUAUUUCUUUCAAAUAAAUAUUUUGAUUAAUUAGGUUCUUCAUAUUUUGGAGAAUACCCUGUUUAUAGGGGAGACUGGCAAAUUUUUUAAAAUUUGGAUAUGAGCAUUAGUUUAAUACAUUUUUUCAUUAUUGUACUUGGAUAUUGAUAUUGGUUACAGAUGGAUAUUUUGAUUAAUCAAAUUCUUUGUAUUUUGGAGAAUACCCUAUUUAUAAGGGAAGACUCUAGUGAAAUUUUUAAAAUUUGGAUAUGAACAUUAGUUUAAUACAUUUUUUCAUUAUUGUACUUGGAUAUUGAUAUUGGUUACAGAUGGAUAUUUUGAUUAAUCAGAUUCUUUGUAUUUUGGAGAAUACCAUAUUUAUAAGGGAGACUCUAUCAAAAUUUUUAAAAUUAUAAUAUUAACAUUAGUUUAUUAUGACAAUACAGUAAUGAAGCUCAAAGAGGGCAGAUCCGAUCGAGAUCCAUUAGAUCGCUCUAUUUUAGUGCUACACGACAGUCAUAGGUUUCAAUUAAUGGACUCUGGUUAGUUAUAUAUGUAUAUAUAAAUAUAUAUAUAUAUAUAUAUACAUAAUCAUGAACCUUAAUUAAGUUCUUAUUUAAUCUAAAUGUAAUAUUUUGUAGCUUAAUUAGGUAUUGACAUGUCGACAACAUUUAUAGACAUUCAUACGAAAGUGGAAGGUGGACCCUCGUAUUCGGCCAAAUGUGAUGCAAUCUAGUUUUUAUGGUAUAUAUCGUGUUGGACACAUUUCACUGGAUUGGCCAUUGAUCACGAGUCUUGUUAAGCGAUGGUGGCCCGGGACACAUACGUUUCAUCUACCUAUUGGAGAGAUGAUUAUUACUCUAUGGAUGUAGCCAUGAUUCUAGGAUUACGUAUUCACGAGCCUCCUAUCACUAACACAUGUGACGGAGAUUAGUCACUACUAUGUUCAAAGCUUUUAGGUCUGGUCCCACCUCCAUCUUAGAUUAGAGGUUCAGGUAUAUCAACACGAUGUUUACGUGAGCAGUUCUCUUAUCCACCAAUAGGGGCCGAUGAUGUUAUUUUACAACAUUAUGCUUGUGCUUUCAUAUUAGCACUAUUAGGUGGAGCAUUGUUUGUAGACAAGAUUGGCACACAUGUAUAGUUAUGUUACCUUCCACUGUUGAGAGACUUCACUGAGAUUUCUCACUAUAGUUAGGGCAGUGUAGUAUUGGCAUACCUAUGUAGAGAGUUAUGUUGUUUGGGUUUGGAUAGUGCCACAAAGAUUUAUGGACCUAUCACACUAUUAUAGGUCUUUCAACAUAACUAUCUAUUAUAACUAAUUGCUUGCAUUAUUGUUGUAAGUUGUCUAAUUUUGAUAAUGUUAUUAAAUUUUGUAGUUAUGCUUAUGAGAGAGACUUCAUGUGGGUCGACUUGAUUUCAAUCAUCCUCCAAUACCUAUCGUAGUCUCACAUUUACAUGAUAAUGUAGUUGAUGUUUUACAUGAUCAUCUAUUGCCUAAUGAAGUACUUCCAAUUGAUCUAUUGAGCCUUAGGUGGAGAGUACCUCUGUCUUGAUCUCAUAACCCAUCACCACAUGUGUUGACAUUCUAUCGAGAUCAAUUGGAUGCCUAGACACAAUAUCAGGUAAAGUAUUUAUGCAUAAGAUUACCUUUGAAACAAUUUGCACCAAUGUGACUAAUUAAUUUUUUUUUAUUACAGGUAUUAUGGGAGCCAUAUACAUCAAAUUUGAUUGCACAUCUUUUAGCUACAUGUCAAGUUAACCAAGACAUUUGGCAAAUUGUGUCACCUCUUAUUUUCUUUGAUGUUAUUGAGUGGCAUAGACCAAAGCAAGUUAUACACCAGCUUAGUAUGCGACAAGGGAUACCUUCACCUUGUUUGAUAGAUAUGGAGCUACAUUUUGUGGAUAAGUGAGGAUGGCAUCAGUAUGGUUAGGCAAAAAUUCCAUGCUCAGUAUAUUUCUCGUUGGGCUACUCGUUCUGAGCAUAUUGCGAUAACACCACUUGCUAUUACUACCAUGGAUUUUUAUGAUCCAUAUAUGCAGUGGUAUCAACAUAUCACGUAAAGCCUGAUUGCACCUGUUUUGCAUAGAGAUCAUAUGAGGUUCCAUAUUACAGCUUUUGCCAUUGAGUUAUUGGUGAGACCAUUUGAGAUACAAAACCAUUUUUGAAUGAAUGUUAAACUUAAAUUAUGUGCAAAUGCCUCAUGUUUCAUUUUCUUAUACAGAUCACUGUCGUAUCAUAGAUGGCUAUUUCAGAUGAUUUGGAGGAAACUCACCGAAUUGCUAUUAAUGUUUUACGUGCUAUAGGAGAGGACCAUCGUGUACACUCGACACAUGAGCCAUCUACAUCUUUAGGGCCAUCCAUGAGACCACCAUCAUUGAUUAUGCCUGUUAGAGUACCACCCAUUAGAGGUUAGGGGAGAGGUGAUCGUCGAGCUGGUCAGCAACAUGUACCUUUGGCAUCUACUUUGGUACAACCCUAACAUCCACCAGUCACAUCCACUCUUCCUCUAUUUCAGCCAUCUGCAUCAUUAGAGUCACUACUCUCUCCCUGUGAUGUAUCCAUACCAGCCCAUUCAUCUCGACCCGAGACUACAAUACCAUCUACCCUUACCCUUAUUGAGUCAUCUGUAGCAGAUGGUUAUUUCAAAUGAUUUGGAGGAAACUCACUAAAUUUCUAUUGAUGUUUUACGUGCUAUUGGAAAUGACCAUCACGUACACUCAACACAAGAGCCAUCCACAUCUUCAAGGCCAUCCAUGAGACCACCAUCAUUGAUUUCACCUGUUAGGGUACCAAUUAGAGGUCAAGGGAGAGGUGGUCGUCGAGCUGGUUAGCGAUAUGUACCUCCGGCAUCUACUUUGAUACUACCCUCACAUCCACCAGUCAUAUAUACCCUUCCUCUAUUUCAUCCAUCUAUAUCAUUAGAGCCAUCAUUUUCUCCACUUGAUGUAUCCAUACUAGUCCUUUCACCUCGACCCGAGACUACCAUACCAUUUAGCCUUACCCCUAUUGAGCCAUCUAUAUCAUUAGACUUACCUGUCCCCCCUCAUGUUACAUCUAUACUGACUUCUUCACCUCCACCUCCACCCCAGCCAUCUAUAUCAUUGGAUGCACCUCUACCUAUUAUAGAGUCCAUUGCACCUCCACCUUUUCUUAAGGAGACAUCUCAUGUUGCACGAUUACAUGUACGGGGGAUACCUAGAGGACAUCAAGCUCCACGUGUACAUUGAGUUCUACCUCCAUCAGUUCCAUCAUAGUCUAUGGAGAUGGAGACUUUUCAGAUAGCACAAAUAGAUCCAACAAAUAUGGCCAUCUACCGUAGAUGUUCACAACGAAAGAGAAAAAUUCCAUUAUGUGGGACCCAUUGAGAACUUUUUUCAUGUUUGUAGCACUAUAAUAGUUUGGUUAAUACAUUUAAGUUUAUCUAAAAUGUCAAUUCAAAUUAGUGAUGUUAUAUUAUUCACCAUUUCCUUAAUAAUUCAAACAAAUAAGACUCAAAAACAUCUUAAGGCCUAAAUGAAAGAAAUUUUAACUAAACAAAUGGUUACAACCAUAAUCGAUUUUUCUUUCAUAUAAUUAAAAAAUUAUACAUUUUAACCAAAACAUAAGUUCAAAUCACACUAAAUAAGGAAAAACCUAAAAUCAUAAUCAUUGGCAUUACUUUUCAUAUGAAAAUAUAAAAUUUUAAAAUAAUAUAAACAAUAAAAUAAUAUGAAAAAAUAAUUUUCUUUAAUUCAUAUGUGAUAAAAUUCAUAAAACAAACAAAUAUUUUAUUUACCAUAAAUAUAUAAAAUUUUAUGGGAGUGCAUGUAGGUGAAAUUAUUUUCUCAAAAUUUCAAGGAAAAUUUGAAAAAAAAAAUAAAAAAUAAAUAAUUUUAAACCGACAAUGCAAUUGUGGAAAAUUGUAAUGGGUGUGGUUUAAAGGAUAUUUUUGAAACCACGGUUAUUAACUAUGGUUCUAAAAAAAAUUGUAAAACCUUAGUCACUAAUUGUGGUUUUAAAUAUAUUUUUGAAUCACAAUUAAUUUUCAAAACCAUAGUUACUAAAUGUGGUUCUAAAAAAAAAUUUUAAAAUAAUUUUAAAAUCACAAUACUAACUAUUGAAAAUUGUAAUGGGGUAUGGUUUAAAGAUAUUUGCGAAAUCACAGUUAGUAACUACAGUUCUAAUAAAAAUUGUAAAGCAAGAGUCUGUUACUGUGGUUUUUAGGAUAUUUUUGAAACCACAGUUACUAUGGUUUUAUAGUUAUUAUGACAAAAAAUAAAAUAAAAUAAAUUUAAAAAUCACAAUACUAACCAUUGAAAAUUGAAACAAGGUGUGGUUUAAAAAUAUAUUUGAAACCACAGUUAGUAACUGUAGUUCUAAAGAAAAUUGUUAAACUACAAUCUAUGAUUGUGAUUUUAAGGAUAUUUCUGAAACUUUUAAAACCACAGUCACCAAUGAUGGUUUUUUACAUUAAAAAAAAAAACUACGUGGAUGAUUACGUGGGUUGAAAAGACUACUUUGACAAAUAUUUUGGGAUAAACUAUUCUCACUAUUUCUUUUUUCUUCAAAAGGAUUAUUUUGGACUUAAACUCGGUAAUCCAAGCAAUACAAAUAUGAUAAUAAUAUCAUCAUCCACAAAUUACCAUAUAAAUAAUAAAAAAUAUUAGUGCUCGUUUGGCCAUAUUUUCUUAAACAUGUUUUUAAAAAUAGUUUUUAAGUUUAAAUAAUAGUUUUAUAGUGUUUUAUAAAAAUAAGGGUGUUUGACAAGUUGUUUUUAAAAGCAAUUUUAUAAAAAUAAAAACAAAAAUUUGUUUAGAUAAGUUAUUUUAGAUUUUUUUUUUAUUUUGUAAAACCACUAAAAAUUCAAUUUAUAUAAUAUAAAUUAAAUUUAAUUCAAGUCUUAUUAAGAAUGAAAAAUAUUUUUGUAAUUAUAAAUAAAUAGUUUUUAGUAAAAUAUGAAUAAUAAUAUUAUAAUAAAAUCAUAAAUUAUAUAUUUUUUUAUAAAAAUAUACUAUUUUAGUAUAUGUUAGAAACAUAAGGAUAUUAACAUCUUUGGUAUAAAAAAAUUUGUUAAAAAUGAUAAAUAAUAAUUUUUAAUAAUAUUUUAUUUAAAAUAAAUAAUGAAUAAAGUUUAACUUUUAUAAUAUAUAAAUGAGUCAAAAUUUUCAUUUUAUAUACAUAUUUAGUACUGAAUUGCGAAUAUAAUAUUUUAGAAUAUUUUGUUUUAAUUUGAAAUUAAUUAGGUCAAUUUUUUAAUUUAAAAUUAUUCUUAAAAAUUAAAAAUUCAUCGAAGAAUUUAAAUCAUUAACUAUAUCAAUUUUGAUCUAUUAUUUUUUUAAUGAUUAUAUCUAUUUUUUAGUUCCAAAUUAUUUUUAAAAAUUUUCAAACUCAUUAAUAAUUUCAAUACAAAGUGUCACUUGAUUUGAUCACCAUAUUUAUAGUGAGAAAAUUUAUAAAAAUAUAAUUAUGUGCAAAAAAAAUAAAAAUUGAUAGUCAUUAUGAACCAAUUUUUGUAUAUAAUUUUUUUAUAUCAAUAAGUUUAUUAUUUGAGUUUCAAAUUAGUUUUAAACAUUAUUAAACUUGUUAAUGAAUCCAACACAUUAAGUUUUUUUUAAUUUGCAACUUAUUUAUCUGGUGAAAAAAGUUAGAAAAUAAUGAUUCUAUGUAGAAUAGAAACACUAGAGUCAUUUUUAAAUUAUUUUUAAAAAUUAUUGGACUUGUUAAUGAAUUCAAUGCAUUAAGUCUUGUUUUAAUUUAGAGUUCAUUUUCCUGAUGAAAAAUAUUAUAAUAUAAUGAUUCUAUGUAAAAGAGAAACAAUAAAGUUAUUCUAAACCAAUUUUUGUCCAUAAAUUUUAUUUAUUUAUUGAUUCACUAUUUGAGUUUUAGAAUACCUUUAAAAAUUAUUAGACUUCUUAAUGAAUCUAACGCAUUAAGUUUUGUUUAAUUUGGAAUUCAUUUGCCUAGUGAAAAAGAAGAAGAAAAUAAUGAUUCUACGUAGAAAAUAAACAAUAAAGUCGUUUUAAACUAAUUUUGAUCCAUAAAUUUCUAAUAUUAAUUGGUCCACUAUUUAAGCUUUAAGUUAUUUUUUAAAAAUUACUAGACUCAUUAAUGAAUCUAACGCAUCAAGUCUUACUUCAUUUGGAGUUUAUAAUAUAUAUACAAAAAGAAAACUAACCCAAGCAUUAGUACUUAAAAUAAAUUUUAGUCUAUGACUUUAUAAUGUUAUUAAGUUCCAUGAUUUUUUAGUAUUAAUUAAAUUUGUUUUUAAAUUUUAAAUUAUUUUGAAAAUUAAUUAAUUUUAUGUCUAAAGUGUGGGUAUCUAGACAAUGAGGUGUCCUGGUAAGCAACACAUCUCAAGCAGUACCUCCCUAUGACCAUAGUUGUACAGAUAGUCAACCAUAAUAAAUGGAUCUGUUACACACCAUCAGCAAUUCAACCUAAUAAUUGUUACGCGCUAUCAGCUAAAUGCAUUACAACAUAAGGUGGUGUUUGUUUUUUUGGCUUUUUGCUGAAAGUAAUUUAGUUUUAGAAUUUAGGUUGUUUGUUUUUCUACUUUUUCAUGACUUAUUAUAAACUUUUUACUAAAUAGAAAAAGCCAAAAUAUGUAGCUUUUUCUAAAUAGAAAAAAUAACAUAUUGGUUUUUUUUACUUUUUAAUACUUAAUAGAAAUAAAAUACUACAAAAACAAACAACCUAAAAUUUAACACUAUUAAGCAUUAAGGUUCUAUUUAGAAUUAAGUAAAAAAACAAACACCACCUAAAUGUCAAAACAAAAAGGGGUCUUAAAGCCUAAUGGAGGUUACAAGAUUCAUAUGAGAGUUAAAAGGUACACGUGAAACUACUCCUAGAGAUCCAUUCCUCAAUCCUCAAAACUAACUUAACCAUUGAAGAGGUUUGCCUAGAACACAUUCAGACACACCUUUGUUGUAGGAUCAAGUGAAGGAGGCAUUGGAAAAGUUGCUUGGAGGGUCAAUCACAAUCCAGAACCAACAAGUGUUUGUGGGAAACUGUACAAAAAGCCACCAUGAAAAGAUUGAAAAUGAUGAACAUGACCUCUGGAACUAGUACCAACCCUCAGUCUACCACGCAACCUUUUAGUCUUGAUGAAAGGUUCAACACCUUUCAAGUGGAGAUGGAGAGAAGGUAGGAGUAUGAGCAACAUAUAUAGUCCCUCCUUUAACAUAUUGAUCAAUUGAGGCAAGAAAAUAAAGGGUACGUGCAUGAAUGCUAGCGAGGCGAUGCUCUAACAGAAGAAGUUGCCAUUCUGUCAAUCAGACCAUCCUAAAGCCAUCUUGGAGCAAAACGACCAAAAUUCCACUUUUAAACAAACAGCCUUCACACCAAGCAAAUGAUGAAUUAUUUACCUAUGACUCACCUCUGUCACCAAUAGUGCAAAAGUCUCCAAUAGAACAUCCGGUUAGUGGAAACCAUUCUAAUGCAACAACCAACGCCACCAAGGAAAUGCGCUCUCAAGAUUAUGCAUUCGACCCUAACACUACCACUACACCAAGGAUGUGGUCUAAUAUCUUGCAUAGUGGUGGCCUUCAAAAUCCUACACAGAAUGUCUAGUUCAAGCAAGUCCUUAGGGAAGCAGGGUAUAGAAUGCCCAUGAGAAUAAUUAGUCGGUGUCUUGAUGACACAUUUUUCACUCCAUUCGAUGCUUAUAUAGUAAACUACGAAUCACUAAGAGGGCUCGUGAUUUCAAAUGAAGUUUAUAAUGUAUAAUGGGACGAGUGAGCCAUUUGACCACCUAAUGCAUUACAGGUAGGUGAUGACACUUGAUGUGGGGAAUGACAUUCUUCUGUGCAAAGUUUUUCUUACCAGCUUACACGACUUUGCAUUAUCCUGAUUUCACAACCGAUCUCAAAACUCUUUCCACUCAUUUAUAAACAUCUUUGAAGCCUUCGUGUCACACUACCUAUGCCCUGCCUGACAUAAGUAGAAUCUGAGUAGAUUGUAGAACAUAAAAAUAAUAAAGAAUAAGCCCCUGUGAGAUUCAUGAAAAGGUUUGGGCAACCAGUUCUCUAGGUAGAUUCAUACAACAUGGAUGCAAUCCUAGAAAAUUCAAAAAAAAAACAUCAGUCCAAGGACCCCAUUCCCUGAAUCCAUUGCCAAGAAGCUAUCAGAGUCAAUAGAUGAUUUGUUUCAUUGAGCUGAUAAGUAUGCGAUGUUGGAGGACGACAUCUGAGCAGUUUCGCAACAAAUUCUAGUUAUAAUACGGUCGACUCAAGAAAAUAAAGCGAGAAACUCCAAAUCUUUAGGAAGUGGGUCAAAGCAGAGAAAUCGCAAAUUCACUCAACAUGAUCAAAGAAGCCACUGUAGUUGACUCCUCUUACUAUUUUAUAUGAGCGGCUUCUCCUAUUGGUUCAUGAUCUACUCGGAUCCAAGUGAUUGUGCUCUAUGAGGGCAGACCCGGUGAAGAGAGACAAACAACGACAUUACUAUUAUCAUAAGGAAAACAAUCAUACUACAAAGGAGUGUCAUCAGUUCCACUUUUUAAUAGAGAAGUUAAUAAUAGUCAAGCACCUCCGCUAGUAUAUUUGCAAGCUUGAGGGUAACAGUGAAGUUCCACCCGCUGAAAUAAACAGGGUAUGAACUCCCCCCUUCUAGUAGCGUCCUGUCAUUCAUUACAUUCAUGGUGGGUCGAUUGAUGACCAGUAUAAAUCUAAGAGGCAUAGGAGAUCUGUGAUUAGAGUUGCUAUCGUGGUGGAACAAGUGAUGAAACGAGUGAACAUCGUUUAAUAUUCCUUCAUGUCGAGCAGAACACAAUUGAUUGAUGGGCCCAUAACCUUUCCCUUUAUUAAUCUAAAUCAGGUAAUACACCCUAUGAGGAUGUUCUCCUGUUAACUCUAAAUAUUAGUAGAUUCAAUGUUUGCAAGAUAUUGGUUGAUCUAGGUAGCUCUGUUGAUUUCUUGUAAAUGACCGCAUACAAGCAGAUAAGCUACUCACCCUUAACCUUAGAAAGCCUGGGGUGCAUCUUGAUUGAAUUCAAUAGGGCCACUAUAAUAUCGUUAGGCGAUAUAGUACUCCUAGUAAAGGUCAGGCCCAUUGUUUUAAAUGUAAAAUUCUCAAUUGUAGAGGAUCUUUCACCUUUCAAUGCAAUAGUGGGGUGUGCAUGUAUCCAUAAGAUAAAGGCUAUCCCAUCCACUUAUCAUCAGAUGGUUAGUUACCUGACUAGCCAAGGCCAAAUAUACUUGCACAGGAGUCAGCUGGUGACUCGAUAGUGCUACCAGAUAAUUAUGGGGACUGACCGAAAGGGUCUGUUUGAUACGCUUGGAUACUUACGUGAUUUGGCCAAAUAACAACUACUAUCCAAAGGAAAAAAAUAAGGUUAUUGAGUAUCAAAAAGCAUUACCAACUAGUGCUGGUAUUAAAAAGAAAUAAUGAUAUGUUUGCUUGGAAGCAUUUAAAUAUGUUAGGCAUCAGCCCCAAAGUAUCAUCUCAAAAGUUGAAUAUCAGUCUUGUUGCAUGGCCUAUUUUGCCCAAUGCUUUCAUUUGGAUAGACAAAAGAUUAUCCAAGCAGAUGUAGCCAACUUAUUAGAAGUCGAGUUCAUCUACGAGGUGGAAUAUCCUGAUUGGCAGACGAACGUUGUGCUACCAAAUAAAGGAGGAAAGUAGAGGGUUUAUGUUAACUUCAUUGAUUUGAAUGAAGUCUUCCAAAAGAUAGCUUUCCACUACCACAUAUUGACUAAUAGCAGACUCAAUAGUAGAGCACAGUAUUCAAUUGUUCAUAGACGCAUUUUUCGAGUACAAUCAAAUUCCAAUGCAUUCACUAGAUUUAGAUAAAACUGUGUUCACAACUCCUCAAGGCAUGUACUAUUACAAUGUAAGUCGUUCAGCCUAAAAAAUGCAAGAGCGAUGUACCAAUGACUAGUGCCAAGAUUUUUCAGCCAAUGCUUGGAAAGACAACCGAGGUCUAUAUUUAUGAUAUGCUAGAUCAUUUAUAACACCUGUGACUGUGAGAAGCCUUCAAUUUGCUCUGAAAGUACAAUAUGAAGUUAAACCUAUUAAUAUGUGCUUUUGGUGCAAGUGUAGGAAAAUUUCUAUGGUCAUUAGAAAGGAAUAGAAGUAAAUCCAACUUAGAAGAGGUACAAUAGUUCUCUAGAAGAUUGGCAGCUUUAGGAAGGUUUAUCUCUAGAUUCACUAACAACCUCUAUUCACUUUUCAAUACUCUUCGAGGUGCAAAGUUAGUCGGACGAUAUCUAGAGUGUGAAUGAGCAUUUAGCUCAAUAAAUCAGUAUUUACUUGAGCCUUUAAUGAUUGGUAUUCCAGUUGCAUCCAAAGAACUAUAUGUGUAUUUGGUUGUAUCAAAAAUUGUUGUUAGCAUGGUAUUAUUACAGGUAGAUGAAGAAAAACAAUAAAAACCUGUAUUUUAUGUGAGUAAAGACUUGAUUUGAGCUAAACUAGAUACACUCACAUCGAGUAGGUGACCUUCUCCCUAAAAGUAGCAACUAAGAAGCUACACCCCUAGUUCCAAGUUGAUCCCAUCGUUUGUCUUAACAAAUCUCCCAUUAUGAGCCACUUUGCAUAAGCCAGGCUUAUCUAAGCGAAUGAUCAAAUGGGCAAUGGAAUUGAGUAAGUACAACAUUCGGUAUACAAAGUCUUGGCUGACUUUAUUACUAAACUACCUCAAACAGAGGUGAGAAAGAAAAAGUUAUUUGAAUAUUGGUGGUUCCUUAACACAGACGGAUCAUCAAAAGUAUUUAGGUUCGGAGUAGGAAUCCUUUUACAAUCUCCUAAAGGAGAGCAAAUUGAUCAAGUGGUUCAACUAGAUUUUUCUUUUUCCAAUAAUAAGUCUUAGUAUGAAGCCAUAAUAGCCAACCUCGAUCUCUUCCUUGCACUUUUUUUCAUCAAAACUGGAAAUCAAAAGUGACUCGCAACUAGUAGUUGGGCAAAUUCAAGGGGAUUAUAAGGCAAAAGACAUAUGUAUGUCACACUACUUAGCACUGGUAAGGAGUUGGUUAGGAAAGUUGAAAGUUGCUUGAAUGAAGAGUGAAAUGCAUUCCUUGAGAGAAAAAUGUGAGAGUAGAUGCUUUAGCCGAGGUGGCAGCCACAAUUUUUGAAAAUCAAACAGUACUUCUAUCAAUUUAUUUUCAACCGACUCUUUCAAAAGUCACGCCCUAAAGGGUGAGUGACAUAAAAGAUGUGGAAUCUAGUUGAAUGACUAAUAUUGUCAAAUAACUUUAGAUAGGAAAAGUCCAUGAUGACUCCAAGGGAGCUCACAAACUUCGAGUAUAGGCAACCCAUUAUUCUAUAAUCAAUGAUCAAUUAUACAAACAAUCAUUUGGGGGGCCCUAUUUAAGAUGUCUAAGUGAAACUAAGGCUCAAUAUGUCUUAGUCGAACUACAUGAAGCAGUAUAUGCCAAUUAUCCUAGAGAACGAACGUGAGUCCACCAAACACAUACUCUAGGGUAUUAUUGACCUAUAAUGAAAAAAAAUGUUGAACUCUAUACUAAGAAAUGUGAGAAAUGCCAAAGAUCUGCUCCUAUACCCUGUUUAUCAUUCGAAUAUCUAACUCCAAUUACUAGUCCUUAGUUGUUUGCAUAAUGAGGAAUGGAUAUAGUUAGGUCAUUUUCUACAAGAGCUACUCAGAAAAAAUUACUGCUCAUUUCCACAAACUAUUUCAAUAAAUGGGUGGAAAUUGAAGCUUAUACCACUAUCAAAGACAAAGAUGUCACAAAAUUCAUUUGGAAGUGGGAAAAAUCAAGAAAAAGAAUGAAAAUGGAACUAACUUGGUCAGUCAAAGACAAUGUUGAUGGCGUGAAAAGAAAAAAUGCCACCAACGACGAACCAAUGCUCUCCAAAGUGAAGCAGUGGAAAGUGCAUAAAGAAGAAAAAAAACCCAUAGACAAAAUGAAUGGCCAAAAAGGAUAAAUGAAAAGAGAGAAUUUGUAGGUUGCAUAUGGAAUGUUAGUGUUAGAAAAAUUGACUAAUUCAACCUAAGGUAAUCACCCUAGAGGAAGGAUAAAUAGGGUAAUGAUAUUUUUUACAAAUUCAAACUAUGUGAAUGCAAGAACAAUUAUAUGCAAAUAUAUAAUAAGAAUAAUAUGAAAAAAAAUUGCAUAUAAAAUAAAAGAGUAGGGAAGAGAGAAUGCAAACACAAGAUUUUAUAGUGGUUCGAUGCAACCUGACCUAUGCCCACUCUCCUCUAGCUUCAAUCCCAAGUUUGAGGUUCCACUAAUUCAAUAUAAUUGGAUUAUGGUUGUAAUAAAUCCUUUUAAACUUUUGGCUCCAAGCACCCUUUACAAUCCUCAAAAUAUACCUCACUCUUGAACAAACCCUCAAGUGAUACCUUAUACUUGGGAAUCCCUAAGUGAUACCUCACAGUUAGAUUUUUCUUCUCAAAGAUUUACAAAUAAAGAUAGGAAAUAAUCUCACAAAAUCCUAAUAUAAAACUUUAGACUCAAAUGAUACAAGAUAAACUAAGUUUGAACGGUGCACUAAUGAUAUGCAAGUUUUAGAACAAUGGUGCACUAAAAAACACUCUCCCAAGACUCAAAUAUAUUCAAGAAAGGUUUAAGAAGGUUGAGCUAUUGAAACAAUGAAGAUUGGAACUUUUUUAUAAAGGAGAAAGGCUAAACUAGUCAUUGGGGGUUCAUCCAAUCGAGUUCUAGUUCGAUCAGUUCACUAAUCGUUAGCAUUUAAUGCAUGAUAGGUGAUCAUUGAACCUCGACCGCCCUUUGACCAGUACAUGACAGAAUGAGGUUCAACCUCGACUAGUACUCGAUCGAAUGAGGUUCAACCUCAACCGGUUGAACAAGUUUUCUGAAAGAAAGAUAAGGUUUUUGCACCCUUCAACCAGUUGAGCUAAAUAAGUUGACCAGUUCCUUAGCCAAUUCAACUGGUUGGGCAAAUCCCUCAACUGGUUGAGUCGUUUUUUACUCAACAACUAUCUUUUUUAACUUAAAACCCUUUAAACAAGUUUGAAAAGCAUUUGAUACAAGAUUUUAAUUGAAAACAUGAAAUCAUCCAUUUAAAAGAUUUAAAACAAAAUAACUCUUGGACGAUUUUGGUCCAUAAGUAAAUAAUAUAAUGUAUGAAAAGUUUGGUGCACCAACAACCUUAAAAAGAGAUCCUAUGAAGCUUAGGUCAUGAAAAACACUUCUCUUUGAGGUCUCUUCUUCUUAUUGAUUUCCUUUUGACUUGAUUUUGUCUUUGUGAUUGCUACUUUGAAAAUCAUCUUAUCUAAUUACAGUUGAAAUAUAAUCAUUAGUUCCAAACAUUAUUUUGUUAUUAUCAAAAUUGAGUUUAACCAAACCUUGGUUUCAUAGUUAGAAGUCUUGCCCUUGUGUCCCUUGAUGAUUAAUGAAAUGAUGAGGUUCUCGGGUCUUGUAUUAUGCUAACAUGUGUCCCAUGGAGCUAGAAUUUGCCUUUUGAAAUUUCAAAAAUUCAAUUAAUUCACCUCGUAGUGAUGCUAGUCGAGCAAAGGACAAAGUUUUUCCCAACUAAGUCACUCCCAAAUAGGAGUCUAGUUAGACAUAACUAAGAAAUGGGGGCAUUGUGGGUACCUAGGUAGUAAGGUGUCUUGGUGGAUGCCUCAAGUAAUGAGGUGUCUAAGUAAGCAACCCAUUCUAAGCAACAUCUACUGUAUGACCAUAGUUACAUGGAUAGUCAACCACCAUAAAUGGAUUCAUUACACACCAUCAAUGGGUUAAUUUGACAACCAUUAUACACUAUCAUCAAGACACAUUAUGAAAUUAAAUGCCAAAAUAAAAAGGGGGUCUUAAUGGCCCAAGGGAGGUUAUGAGAUACAUCCUAUAUAAAGGUAGAGGGAUGAGAGUUAAAAUGUAAGAGCAAAGCUACUUCCAGAGAUCCAUUCCUCAUUCCUUAAAGCUAACUUAACCAUCGAAGAGGUCUACCCAAAACACAUUUGGACAUACCUUUUUUGUAGGAUCAAGUGAAGGAGGCAUUGGAAAAGUUGCCUAAAGGCUCAAUCGCAAUCCAUAACCAACAUCAAGUACAAUUUGAUGUGAAAUUUAUUUGCUUCAUAAAAAAUUUUAGAAAAAAUAAAAGAGAUCUACAAAAACAUGUGUAAUUUAAAAGAUGAUCAUGUUUAAAAAAUUUUAGUAUCGAUAUUAAAUUGUAGAGAGAAAAAUGAAAUGAUACCAUGUUCAAUUUUAUUUGUUUUUUUAUGGUUUUUUUUAUUAUUUCCUAUGUUUUCCUUUUGUUUUUAAAAACCAGUAAAAACAACUUUUACUUGUUCUCUUAAAAUUGUUUUAUGUUUCAUUUUGUUUUUUAAAAAAACCAUUUCCAAAUAACAACGACCAAAUGGUAUUAGAAAUUUUAAAAAUAAUUUUUUUUUUUUAAAUCACACAAGGGCUCUUAAAUUCUAAGAAUUUCAAUGGGGCUUGUAUAUCCCAAAAAUUAAAAAUGUCCAACUUUAAUGUAAUCCAUAUUUCAUACCUAUCAUAUUCAUGCAAAUACUUCCAUAAGACUUUCUUUAGGCAGGUUGAUUUUUUUUUUUAUUAUUUUUUUUUUGUUCCUUUAACUAGUUUUUUUUAAUUAAUUUAUAUGGGCUCAAUUUGAUUUGGAAAUAUUACAAAUAUAUAAAAAGAAAACGAUGAUUUUAAUUAUAUUCGUUGCCAUGGCUGCAACUCCUCUCAAAUAUCUUUUUUGAAUACAAACAUUGUAAGAUAGUGACUAUAGUAUCAAUGUAAAUGUCCAAACCUUGAUUCUUUGAACUUACUCCAAAUAUGAUCGUCCUUGCCCUUGCUAGUUGAAUUGACUUCCAAUUUGGAUUGACCUCCAAAAUUAUAUGGAAAUGAGGAUAUGGAUUCUCAGAAAAAAUGCAAAAAUAAAAAUAAAAAUAAAAAUAAAUAAGAUUUUUUUAAAAUAAAGUUUGAAAGUAUUUUUGAACACUUAAUUUGAGUGAUAUUUUUUGGGGUUGCCAAAAAUAUCUUAUCCUGAAUUGUCCCUAUUUUGUAUUUGUCCUUUUAAAAAAUUGCUAAAAUAAAUAUAUAACUUGUGGAAAAUGGUAUGGUGUCUGUCAAAUGAAUCUCAUACCAAACUCCAAAUAUUUUAAUAAUUAAAAAUAAUAAUAAUAUCAAAGGAAAUACAGAGAGAGAGAAGUACACAAAUGAAGAAAAUAAGAUAUAAUUAAGAUAAAAAUAAAUAAAAUUAUUUUUAUUGUGUGACAAAUUUUUAUUUACCAUCACUUUUUUAAGCCCAAAUAAAAAAGACCUUUUACAAGGGCGUGAGUGUUAAUUACUCUGCCCAUUGUUUCAAAGCCAAGACAAAAAAAAGAAGACACGAAAAGUAAAGAGUGGACCACCAUGGAAGACAUUACUAAAUUAUUAUUUUAAUUUUGAAAAUACCACUUAAUAUAAUUGAGUUUAUUUUGCCUUUUCCAAUCAAUUUAACUUCUGGCUUAUGGGCAACCUUAAAGACUACUAACACAGUACUUCCCCACCUACCCCUUUUCGAAUUUGGUGGGCUUUGAAAACUCCUGAUAAGAUUACGCACCUACCCCUUUCCCAAGGGGUCCACACCUACCCAAAAUCAUUGUGUAAGAAUAUAUGACAAAGAUGAUGCAGUAUUAUUAUUAUUAUUAUUUGAACAAUUUGUUGUUCCACUAUUUACAGAGGGAUGAUUGAAAAACCAUCUCCAACUCUUAAUAUAUACAAAUAGACAGUUGGUCUAAAUAAGUAGGAAUACGAGUAUUUAUUUUUCAAAUAUAGGGAUUGAUAUGAGAUGAAUAGUCGCGAAUUCCAGCUCCUUCCCAUCCCAUCCACUCUUCCCACAACUCCCAAUCAGGAUCGUCAUAUCCUCUCAUCGAUUCGUCCAUCUCCUCCAACAUCUCCCCCGUGCUUGUCGAUUCUUCCCUGAAAUUGCUCAUCACAGUCUGCGCAAACACCAUGUGUCAAUCAGAUCAGCCUAUUUUUUUUUAUUUUUUUUUAUAUUUACAGAUAAGAACAAAUCUAAUAUCACAACAUUCCAGUAUUAAUUUAGGGCUGGAAAAUUUGGCAAAUAACAGAACAGAAAAGAACAAAACAAAAAAGCUUGA